AAUUUAGUGGGUAUCAUUAGUUAUAAGUUUAAGACACCCUUCUAUGGUUUAGUUUUUCUGCUUGUUCAAUUGUGAGUCUAAUUAGGAAAUUUAGAGCAUAUAAACCAAUAUAUCUUAUGUUGUUCAGUUUUUAUAAAUAAUUUGUUGAAAAACAUAAUUUGGUGGAGAAUCUUUGUAUUUUUUUUGUGUGUAUUGUUUGUUUACACUCUUCCUAUUUAUACACAAUAGUCCUAGAUAUGAGGAGAUCUAGAUACACUAGGAAAUUAUGAAAAAGGAAGAAAAUAGAAUGCAAGAAAGGAAAGGGGGAAUACAACUCUUUAAUGCAGGGUUUAUAAGCUGGCAGGACUCCAACACUCCCCUUUAAGUUGUUUCAUGUAUGUCGCACAUGUCCAACUUGCAAAUUAGAGUGUGGAAUAUCUUACUGCUGAAACCAUUAGUAAACACAUCCAGCCACUUUUUCCUUUGAAGUCACAUGAAAGACACUUAAAAGACCCAUCAACUAUUUUAUCUUUUAUUAAGAGUCGAUCAAUCUCUAUAUGCUUGGUUUGAUCAUAUUGAAUUGGGUUAUGAACUAUGCUGAUAGCAGCUUUGUUGUCACAAAACAAGGACAAACUUAUUGUUUCUGAAGGUCUCAUUUCCUUCGUCAAUUUCUGCAACCACAAUAGAUUACAAAUACCCUGUGCCAUGGCUUUGUUUUUCGCCUCUGCACUAGAUCUUCUUGUUACAUUCUGCUUGUUACUUCUCUACGUGACUAAAUUGCUACCAACAGAGGUGCAGUAACCUGACCAAUUUGCAUUUAUAAAGGCUUUUAUCUGGAGAUAGCCAUGCUUUUAAAAAGGAAGUUCCUUUCUAGGUGCAUAUUUUAAAUACUUCAAAAUGUGGAAGACAGCUUCUAAGUGAGGUUCUCGAGGAUCAGGUAUAUACUGGCUUAUCAAGCUUACAGUAUAGGCUAAUCUACAAUGAGGGAGAAAUCAAUCUCUCUAUUGACCUCUGAUAUCUUCCUAUGUUAACUGACUUCCCAACUCCUACUUGCAGCUUAUGAUUAACUUGAAUAGGAGACUGAUGGUUUACAGCCCAACAUGCCCGUCUCCUUUAGGAGGUCAAGUAUGUACUUUCUUUGAGAGAUGAA
rnacentral:misc_RNA from 1 species